rnacentral:snRNA from 1 species
UUGCUUUGGCAGCACGUGUACAAUUGAAACAAUACGGAGAUUCGUGUGGCCCCUGCGCAAGGAUGACACGCAAAUUCGUGAAAUGCUCCAUAUUUGA